rnacentral:rRNA from 1 species
ACGUAGGAUCCAAGCGUUGUCCGGAUUUACUGGGUAUAAAGGGUGCGUAGGCGGCCUUGUGCGUCAGAGGUGAAAUCUCCGGGCUUAACCCGGAGGGUGCCUUUGAUACGGCAGGGCUUGAGUGCGGGAGAGGGUGAUGGAAUUCCUGGUGUAGGAGUGAAAUCCGUAGAUAUCUGGAGGAACAUCAGUGGCGAAGGCGGUCAUCUGGACCGGUAUUGACGCUGAGGUGCGAAAGCGUGGGGAGCAAACAG